AGCUCAUUGUUCAAUAUAACUAGCACAGGCAACCAAAGCCUGGAGAGAGAGGGGGAGAGAGAGAGAUUCUCCACUUGCUGCCACCACCACCCCUUCUCUGUAUCCCCCCACCCCUUUUUGAGGCUGCACUCUUGAAAGAGUUGCAGCUAUUCCUCCCCACACCCCCUCAACCAGCCCACUCUCCCCCUUCUCUCUCUCUCUCUCCCCCUCUCUCUCCCCCACCUCUAUAAAUUCUCUUCUGUAGCAUGCUGCCCUUUUAAAAUCCACAUUUGUGUUCCAGAUCAUGUAGCAAAGACAGAAAGUGAGAAGGGAGCAGGGGCUUUUGUCUAGUAUUUUCUUCGUGCUGCCAGAGAAAACAGUGCAGUCCUAAGUCUUAAUAGAAUCUGAGAAUGAUUUAUCAUCCAAGACUCACAACCAGCCAGAAACACAUUCCAAUCAGCCAUGGGCAUGGAGGAUUUCUCAAGGACAAUCUUCCCAUCCCAAAGGAAGUCAAUCGCAAAAAGAACAAGAAAUCUGAAGCUCUGUUCCUGACACCAGCAAAUGACUAUGGACACCAUUUCACCAAAAUCAAUUACCUCUCCUCUUUUUAAUCAUAACUCCUCAUUUGUAUUAAAUAUGGUGUAUGGGUGUUGAUGAGGUCAUCAUGGUGUCAUAUAUCGGGAAUUGUUUCUGUGUAAAUCAUAAGAAGAAAACUACGGGACUCUGAGCCUUGCUUUAGAGAAUUACAGUGGGGGAAAAUAUGUACCAUAAAACCAGUUUUUAAUCAUUCUGACUCAAGUAAAAGCUCUCAGAAUUUCACACUGUGAAUCCAAGUUUACAAACAUUACAGGUGAGCCUUCAGGCCUGGUUCUGCCACAGCAAUGUCUUCCACUACUCAAACUCAACUGACCACAUGCAACUGGUAUACUGCUGCCUCUUCAUUUCCAUGAUUCUGAACUGCUUUUUGCAGAGGCUGAGAGUCCCCCUUUUAUUUCAUUUUAGAUGUAACAAAGCCUAGUAGUUUAUUUUCAUCGAUUGUCUGUAUAUCUCUAUAUUUUAUCCAUGUACUCUUUUGAUGUAUAGAAGUAGUAUGAAACUCAUGGUUUCCUUGUGGUAAGUGACUGAGAUGCUGCCACGGGAUUUGAGACACUGAUGAAUGGUGCUAUUUUGGACUUUGAACAUACUCCUUGGCAAGGUAGCUCUGAUGGAGUUAUUUUUAAUUUCCAUGUUCUAAGAAGGUAUUGGUACUUUGUUCUCGUUCUUUAGACUGGACUGACUUGUUUCCUUGUGUCUUCAGUGUGGCUUUCUUAUUCAGUGUUGUAGGGUGAGUAAUUACUAAUAAAGCAAGUAAGGAACUGAUUCCCACCUGGGUGUGCUCGCAAACUUUCAAUGGUAGUGGGAGCAAUCACAAAACUGUAAUUUACUAUAUUUUCCUUUCCAACAUUCUGCUUACAUAAUUUGGAUAAAGUAUAGCAAUAAUUUUCUUACGGUUUUUGGGGAACUUCUUCUGUGUUUACUUUUCUGAUCCAUUAGGAAGGCAUAUUAUUUUUAAAGGGAGGUUAGCAUGUUUUGAAUGUCCUUUAAAAUUGAUUAAAUUGGCUAUACAUAUUUAAAAAGCAUAAUUAAUUGUUCUUUUGAAUGUGUUUAAAGACAAGCUCUUAAAAUGUAAUGAAUAUAAUUCCACAGUAUUUCCAAUAUGUGGAUUUUACAUUUUUGUUCUUGCUCCCAGGGAAUUAGAAAACAAAAUACAAUACAAAACAAAAAAUACCAUCUACUCAUGGAAUGUUGUUGUGUUAGACACAGUCUGGAAGCCCACCUUAAUUUUUAUAUAACUCUUGUCCUUCAGCUCUUCCUCUUACUGGGCAGUCUUUGUCCCAAACUACUUAGCUUUUGACUGUUAAAUACCAAUGCAUGCACUGCACUUCUUAGUUAUCUUUCCCUUCCCACCCCCAGUUCUUGUGCACUUUCUUUCUUGUAGAUUAGAUAAGUUGAUUGUGCUGUACAUACAUAUAGCAAGAAACAGUAUUCAGCAGUUGUGGCAUUUAUGUAUAGUUGCAGUUGUGUACUGCUGAAAAUGCAGGCUUUUGUAACAGUGUGAUCUUUAAUAAUGCACUACAAGUACCCAAUGUAUUUUAGCUCUUUUAGUAGGAUUUGUUCAAUAAAUAUGCAAGCUCUAAGAGUAA